ensembl:snRNA U4 U4 spliceosomal RNA
AGCUUUACGCAGUGGCAGUAUUGUAGCCAAUGAGGUUUAUCCAAGGCACGAUUAUUGUUCAUUGAAAGCUUUUCCCAAUAUCCCGCCGUGACGACUUGCAGCAUAGUCGGCAUUGGCAAUUUUUGACAGUCUCUACGGAGA